rnacentral:rRNA from 1 species
GACGAACGCUGGCGGCGUGCCUAAUACAUGCAAGUAGAACGCUGAAGAGAGGAGCUUGCUCUUCUUGGAUGAGUUGCGAACGGGUGAGUAACGCGUAGGUAACCUGCCUUGUAGCGGGGGAUAACUAUUGGAAACGAUAGCUAAUACCGCAUAACAAUGGAUGACCCAUGUCAUUUAUUUGAAAGGGGCAAAUGCUCCACUACAAGAUGGACCUGCGUUGUAUUAGCUAGUAGGUGAGGUAACGGCUCACCUAGGCGACGAUACAUAGCCGACCUGAGAGGGUGGUCGGCCACACUGGGACUGGGACACGGCCCAGACUCCUACGGGAGGCAGCAGUAGGGAAUCUGCGGCAAUGGGGGCAACCCUGACCGGGCAACGCCGCGUGAGUGAAGAAGGUUUUCGGAUCGUAAAGCUCUGUUGUAAGUCAAGAACGAGUGUGAGAGUGGAAAGUUCACACUGUGACGGUAGCUUACCAGAAAGGGACGGCUAACUACGUG